rnacentral:rRNA from 1 species
UCCACGCCCUAAACCGAAUGAAUGUUAGUCGUCGGGAUGCAAGUCAUUUCGGUUGAUGCAGUUAACACAUUAAACAUUCCGCCUGGGGAGUACGGUCGCAAGAUUAAAACUCAAAGGAAUAGACGGGGACCCGCACAAGUGGUGGAGCAUGUGGUUUAAUUCGAAGAUACGCGAAGAACCUUACCUAGCCUUGACAUUGAUAGAAUCCCGUAGAGAUACAGGAGUGCCCUUCG